AUUGAACGCUGGCGGAAUGCUUUACACAUGCAAGUCGAACGGCAGCACGGGGCAUCCUGGUGGCGAGUGGCGAACGGGUGAGUAAUACAUCGGAACGUGCCCAAUCGUGGGGGAUAACGUAGCGAAAGUUACGCUAAUACCGCAUACGAUCUACGGAUGAAAGCGGGGGAUCGCAAGACCUCGCGCGAAUGGAGCGGCCGAUGUCAGAGUAGAUAGUUGGUGGGGUAAAGGCUCACCAAGGCGACGAUCUGUAGCUGGUCUGAGAGGACGACCACCCACACUGGGACUGAGACACGGCCCAGACGCCUACGGGGGGCAGCAGUGGGGAAUUUUGGACAAUGGGCGCAAGCCUGAUCCAGCCAUUCCGCGUGAAGGAUGAAGGCCUUCGGGUUGUAAACUGCUUUUGUACGGAACGAAACGGCUCUCUCUAAUACAGGGGGCUAAUGACGGUACCGUAAGAAUAAGCACCGGCUAACUACGUGCCAGCCGCCGCGGUAACAC
rnacentral:rRNA from 1 species